GUGGGGAAUAUUGGGCAAUGGGGGCAACCCUGACCCAGCGACGCCGCGUGAGUGAAGAAGUAUUUCGGUAUGUAAAGCUCUAUCAGCAGGGAAGAUAAUGACAGUACCUGACUAAGAAGCCCCGGCUAACUACGUGCCAGCAGCCGCGGUAAUACGUAGGGGGCAAGCGUUAUCCGGAUUUACUGGGUGUAAAGGGAGCGUAGACGGAAUGGCAAGUCUGAAGUGAAAUCCUGCGGCUUAACUGCAGAAUUGCUUUGGAAACUGUCAAUCUGGAGUGUUGGAGAGGUAAGCGGAAUUCCUGGUGUAGCGGUGAAAUGCGUAGAUAUCAGGAAGAACACCGGAGGCGAAGGCGGCUUACUGGACAAUAACUGACGUUGAGGCUCGAAAGCGUGGGAAGCAAACAGGAUUAGAAACCCGGGUAGUCC
rnacentral:rRNA from 1 species